rnacentral:rRNA from 1 species
UGGGGAAUAUUGGACAAUGGGCGAAAGCCUGAUCCAGCCAUGCCGCGUGUGUGAAGAAGGUCUUCGGAUUGUAAAGCACUUUAAGUUGGGAGGAAGGGCAUUAACCUAUACGUUAGUGUUUUGACGUUACCGACAGAAUAAGCACCGGCUAACUCUGUGCCAGCAGCCGCGGUAAUACAGAGGGUGCAAGCGUUAAUCGGAAUUACUGGGCGUAAAGCGCGCGUAGGUGGUUUGUUAAGUUGGAUGUGAAAUCCCCGGGCUCAACCUGGGAACUGCAUUCAAAACUGACUGACUAGAGUAUGGUAGAGGGUGGUGGAAUUUCCUGUGUAGCGGUGAAAUGCGUAGAUAUAGGAAGGAACACCAGUGGCGAAGGCGACCACCUGGACUAAUACUGACACUGAGGUGCGAAAGCGUGGGGAGCAAACA